UACGAAGGGGGCUAGCGUUGCUCGGAAUCACUGGGCGUAAAGCGCACGUAGGCGGAUUGUUAAGUCAGGGGUGAAAUCCUGGAGCUCAACUCCAGAACUGCCUUUGAUACUGGCGAUCUCGAGUCCGGGAGAGGUGAGUGGAACUGCGAGUGUAGAGGUGAAAUUCGUAGAUAUUCGCAAGAACACCAGUGGCGAAGGCGGCUCACUGGCCCGGUACUGACGCUGAGGUGACGAAAGCG
rnacentral:rRNA from 1 species